rnacentral:rRNA from 1 species
GGCCAGCAGCCGCGGUAAUACGGAGGAUGCGAGCGUUAUCCGGAUUUAUUGGGUUUAAAGGGUGCGUAGGCGGAUUAAUAAGUCAGUGGUGAAAACCUGCAGCUUAACUGUAGAACUGCCAUUGAUACUGUUAGUCUUGAGUACGGUCAAGGUAGGCGGAAUGUGUAAUGUAGCGGUGAAAUGCUUAGAUAUUACACAGAACACCGAUUGCGAAGGCAGCUUACUGGGCCAUUACUGACGCUGAGGCACGAAAGCGUGGGGAGCGAACAGGAUUAGAUACCCUGGUAGUCCACGCCGUAAACGAUGAUCACUCGCUGUUGGCGAUACACAGUCAGCGGCUAAGCAAAAGCAUUAAGUGAUCCACCUGGGGAGUACGGCCGCAAGGCUGAAACUCAAAGGAAUUGACGGGGGCCCGCACA